UCUCUGUACCCGACUUCUCCCUCUCCCUUCGCGUAUUGUUGGCCGGCGGACGACGAGCGGCGAGAUUAGGCGAACAGCGGCGGUAGUGGUCGGCUCCAGCGACGAUCGGCGACCUCCAACAGCGGUGGUGAACGGCGUCGCGUUGGGCAGAGCUCCGGCGGUCCUCCUCUCCCGGCGGCGACGAGAUGGACUCCUCCAACAGCGACGAGCUUCGGUCCCUCCUUCCCUCUGUUUUUUUUUUCGGCGUAGCAGCCCCGAUGAAGCAGCAGGCGCGAGGAGGUGGAAGGCCGGCAGCUUCCCUCUUCUUCUUCCUUUUUCCGGUGCGGUGGCAGAGUGUUGAUGGGCUAUGUGUGGAUUAAGAGGUUCCUUGUUGAAGUGGAUAAUUUAGGAGAUGAGCCUAAGAGCAUGUGUUUGACUUUUGGAGCUUUAACUUCGAGGUAAGUUUCUAUGUCCGUCAAAACUACUUUGCCCUAUCAGUGUGCUAUUUAUCUAAAUUGUGUCCUUAAACUUUAAAAAUGCUUUUUGGUUCAAAGUACGAUAAAUAACAAAUUAUGGUUAUUUUUGUGUUGACUCGUGAUUUUCAAAUCUAUUAUAAUUGGGAUUGCUUUGAGUAUUGCAAGAA